GAUGAAGAACGUAGCGAAAUGCGAUAAGUAAUGUGAAUUGCAGAAUUCCGUGAAUCAUCGAAUCUUUGAACGCACAUUGCGCCCGCCAGUAUUCUGGCGGGCAUGCCUGUCUGAGCGUCAUUUCAACCCUCAUGCCCCUAGGGCGUGGUGUUGGGGAUCGGCCAAAGCCCGCGAGGGACGGCCGGCCCCUAAAUCUAGUGGCGGACCCGUCGUGGCCUCCUCUGCGAAGUAGUGAUAUUCCGCAUCGGAGAGCGAUGAGCCCCUGCCGUUAAACCCCCAACUUUCCAAGGUUGACCUCAGAUCAGGUAGGAAUACCCGCUGAACUUAAGCAUAUGAAUAAGCGGAGGA
rnacentral:misc_RNA from 1 species